rnacentral:rRNA from 1 species
UUAUUGGUAAGAGAUUAGCCUGUAUUGUAUCAGUUAGUUGGUGGGGUAAUGGCCUACCAAGACUAUGACACAUAACUGGUUUGAGAGGAUGAUCAGUCACACUGGAACUGAGACACGGUCCAGACUCCUACGGGAGGCAGCAGUGGGGAAUAUUGCACAAUGGACGAAAGUCUGAUGCAGCAACGCCGCGUGGAGGAUGACACAUUUCGGUGCGUAAACUCCUUUUAUAUGAGAAGAUAAUGACGGUAUUAUAUGAAUAAGCACCGGCUAACUCCGUGCCAGCAGCCGCGGUAAUACGGGGGGUGCAAGCGUUACUCGGAAUCACUGGGCGUAAAGAGCAUGUAGGCGGAUUGAUGAGUUUGAAGUGAAAUCCUAUAGCUUAACUAUAGAACUGCUUUGAAAACUGUUAAUCUAGAAUGUGGGAGAGGUAGAUGGAAUUUCUGGUGUAGGGGUAAAAUCCGUAGAGAUCAGAAGGAAUACCGAUUGCGAAGGCGAUCUACUGGAACAUUAUUGACGCUGAGAUGCGAAAGCGUGGGGAGCAAACAGGAUUAGAUACCCUGGUAGUCCACGCCCUAAACGAUGUACACUAGUUGUUGUGAGACUUGAUCUUGCAGUAAUGCAGUUAACACAUUAAGUGUACCGCCUGGGGAGUACGGUCGCAAGAUUAAAACUCAAAGGAAUAGACGGGGACCCGCACAAGCGGUGGAGCAUGUGGUUUAAUUCGACUAUACACGAAGAACCUUACCUGGACUUGACAUAGUAAGAACUUUCUAGAGAUAGAUUGGUGUCUGCUUGCAGAAACUUAUAUACAGGUGCUGCACGGCUGUCGUCAGCUCGUGUCGUGAGAUGUUGGGUUAAGUCCCGCAACGAGCGCAACCCUCGUGUUUAGUUGCUAACAGUUCGGCUGAGAACUCUAAACAGACUGCCUACGCAAGUAGGAGGAAGGUGAGGACGACGUCAAGUCAUCAUGGCCCUUACGUCCAGGGCUACACACGUGCUACAAUGGGAUAUACAAAGAGCGGCAAUACGGUGACGUGGAGCAAAUCUUAUAAAAUAUCUCCCAGUUCGGAUUGUAGUCUGCAACUCGACUACAUGAAGUUGGAAUCGCUAGUAAUCGUAGAUCAGCUAUGCUACGGUGAAUACGUUCCCGGGUCUUGUACUCACCGCCCGUCACACCAUGGGAGUCGAACUCAUUCGAAGCG